rnacentral:rRNA from 1 species
CUUAGUGGCGGACGGGUGAGUAACGCGUGGGUAACCUGCCUUACACAGGGGGAUAACACUUAGAAAUAGGUGCUAAUACCGCAUAAGCGCACAGUCCCGCAUGGGACAGAGUGAAAAACAUUAGUGGUGUAAGAUGGACCCGCGUCUGAUUAGCUUGUUGGCGGGGUAACGGCCCACCAAGGCGACGAUCAGUAGCCGGCCUGAGAGGGUGGACGGCCACAUUGGGACUGAGACACGGCCCAAACUCCUACGGGAGGCAGCAGUGGGGGAUAUUGGACAAUGGGGGAAACCCUGAUCCAGCGACGCCGCGUGAGUGAAGAAGUAUUUCGGUAUGUAAAGCUCUAUCAGCAGGGAAGAAAGAAAUGACGGUACCUGAGUAAGAAGCCCCGGCUAACUACGUGCCAGCAGCCGCGGUAAUACGUAGGGGGCAAGCGUUAUCCGGAAUUACUGGGUGUAAAGGGAGCGUAGACGGUAAUGCAAGUCUGGAGUGAAAGGCGGGGGCCCAACCCCCGGACUGCUCUGGAAA